UUUAAGGGCUGACUCCCAACAAGGAAGGCUGUCAAGCUGGAGAUCCUUCCUCUUGGAGCUCUUCUGUGAGCCCAGGACAUGGUUCGGUUCACUUCAGGAAUUACAUCAAAGAUGAAACUGCCUGAGAACAAGUUUCGGGGUAUGUUAGUGGGAAUACUUGACUGCCAGGAGUCAAAGUCCCAGUGAAAAUCAUAUUGCAGAAGGCAUGAACCACUUUGGAGGAACCUACUUGGCAACACAAUAAGAUCCCAUCCAUUCAUGGGAGGGGAGGAAUCAUCUGCCAUCUUACUUCUCCUCUUUCCCCAGUCAGACAGAAAGUGCAGAGAUGCAGAUGGAGGGUCACCCCUCACUUUUAGUGCCUAGAACAUCAGUGACACUACAGGAACUUGAGCAGAAUGUAAAUUUUUUUUCUCAUAUUUGCAAACCUGAAAAGAGAGUGAAAGACUGUUAUCUCUUCCAUAAGCUAUUUGGGAUGCUCCUACAAAGGGCUCUGAAAAAGCUAUGAAAGAUUAUACCUUGCAUGUACUGACUAUUUCAUACAUGAAUGUUUGGAUAUCUGUGAGAAUUAAAAGUUAUUUUGAUGUCAGAAGUAAAGCAAAGUCUUCCUCCUUUCCCUAGAGAAAAAUAAAUGCUUUUUUCUUGUAAGAGAAGCUUUUUUAUACAAGGGCUAAUUCUUGUUAAACUGGGCCUAAAGCAAUUAACCUAUUUCUUACUGUCAGAUUUAAUUGUAAACUGACCUAAUUAAGACUAAAACCUGUGGUACACCUGUCUGCAUUGCGUUUUUGUAUCGAGUACAAAAAACAUCACAUCUGGAAUAGGCAGUGCACAGAGGAAUUAAACUUAAAUGUGGGGCUGCUGUGCUUUUUGAUAAGCAUUUCAGCAGCUAAGCAUUUCCAGCAGAUAAGGAGAGAGUCUGUUGAUUUCAGUGAGCACAAAAUGGGUCUCUUCUGAACUCUCCCUGGGUUCCUGUCAAUGAAAUUACUCUAAAUAUACACUGGUAUUAGUUACACAUGCAAGGAGUGAUCUAUUUUUAAGAAAUGAUCCAGAAUUUGAAGAGAACACACAGAGAAGCUGUAUUUUAAUAACUUCCCAUCCACUAAUUUCUAACAGUUUCAGGCAACUGCACAAACAUAUAGGUCCUGCUAUCUACUACUUGUUUAUUAGUGUACUAUGACAACAAGGAAACAUAUCUGGAACACACCAAGAUGCUCCUGUAAACUGAAAUUCCUUGUUAUACAGUCUAUCCCCCCCACUUUUUUUUUCUGCCAAGGGUAAAUCCUACCACCAGAAACUCAGCAUGCCAUUUGUGUUAUGUUUUGGUUUAAAGCAAAGUGGCCUGAAAUAUCCUUCCUUUUUAACAUACAGUUUGUUCAGCAUUUAAGUCAUUGGUGUUUAAUAUCUGUUCUAAAAGACUAAUCAGGGCAUAUAUACAGAUGUACAUAUGUGUGUAUGUAGAUGACAAAAUGGUACACCUAUACGUAACUCAAAGUUCUUUUCUAUACUACAGCUUGUAUGUAUUUGAGCUUGUACAGAGCCUGCCUAGAUGUGUCCUUGUUCUAUCUGAGAGCCUUGCCCUAAAUUACAGAUAAUUGAAAGUGGUCCAAAAGCGGAAGGCAGUCUGAGUACUUGAGGAAAAGUUAUAAAUACUUUAAAGAGCUUGUUAGAGCAGAAGGAAUCAUUUGACCGGGCUGAGGUCUGUAGUGUAUGUCAUUUUGCUUGAGGUUGUUUUGACUACAGUGGAUACUGCAUGGGAUGAUUGAAUAGUCCGGUUUCUACCCCCUUUGCCUGAAAAAAUGACCAGCAACCAGAACUAUCACAUUUUGACAGAUGGAAAACAGUGGUACAGCAGAUUUUGCAAGAACUUAAAGCUUUUUUUUUGUUGUUUGGGUGGAUGCUCAGAAGUAUACUUUCACCUCUGCUGUGCACAAAAGUAGGAUGAAACAGAUUUUAAGAUUUGACUUAGCUCACACAUACUGAGCUAAGCCUAACAGAACUGUACAAAGAGAUCCUAUGGCCCCAUAAAUUUUGCAAGUUGCAAAAGGCCAUGGAUACAUCAACUGAUUCAUUUCUCUGGUGCUGGAAAACUGACUUUGCUGCAGUAACAUGCUGUACUUUAAAGGUCAGACAGAAUAGGACUCUGAUAAAUCAGGAUGAAAACCACAGAAUGGGCCCAUGAAAACAAAACAAGGAGCUUUAAAACAAGUAAUGAAGUAUGUAAAAUAGCCAGAAUUCUCUUUUGGUCUGAUUAGAAUAGAAAACCUGUAAGUAGGAAAGGAGGACAUUUUCUGUUGCCUGCGGCAUUUUUCAAGUGCCCAUCACAGUACUAAGAUGACAUUAGAGUCAUUUUCUUCACUUU
ensembl:lncRNA